GCGUUUAUAGCUCAGUUGGUUAGAGCACCACCUUGACAUGGUGGGGGUCGUUGGUUCGAGUCCAAUUGAACGCACCA
rnacentral:tRNA from 13 species